GAUGAACGCUGGCGGCGUGCUUAACACAUGCAAGUCGAACGAAGCAUUUAGGACAGAUUACUUCGGUUUGAAGUUCUUUAUGACUGAGUGGCGGACGGGUGAGUAACGCGUGGGUAACCUGCCUUGUACUGGGGGAUAGCAGCUGGAAACGGCUGGUAAUACCGCAUAAGCGCACAAUGUUGCAUGACAUGGUGUGAAAAACUCCGGUGGUAUAAGAUGGACCCGCGUCUGAUUAGCUAGUUGGUGAGAUAACAGCCCACCAAGGCGACGAUCAGUAGCCGACCUGAGAGGGUGACCGGCCACAUUGGGACUGAGGCACGGCCCAGACUCCUACGGGAGGCAGCAGUGGGGAAUAUUGCACAAUGGAGGAAACUCUGAUGCAGCGACGCCGCGUGAGUGAAGAAGUAAUUCGUUAUGUAAAGCUCUAUCAGCAGGGAAGAUAGUGACGGUACCUGACUAAGAAGCUCCGGCUAAAUACGUG
rnacentral:rRNA from 1 species